GACGUAGGGCGCGAGCGUUGUCCGGAUUUAUUGGGCGUAAAGAGCGUGUAGGCGGCCCGGUAAGUCCGCUGUGAAAGUCGGGGGCUCAACCCUCGAAUGCCGGUGGAUACUGUCGGGCUAGAGUGCGGAAGAGGCGAGUGGAAUUCCUGGUGUAGCGGUGAAAUGCGCAGAUAUCAGGAGGAACACCGAUUGCGAAGGCGGUUCUCUGGGCCUUACCUGACACUGAGGAGCGAAAGCGUGGGGAGCGAACAGG
rnacentral:rRNA from 1 species